GAGCAUUGCCUUGGAACCUCUGUAGUGUCAGGCCCAUGGCCUCAGGGAUCUGCUGGCAGUGCCAGAGCAAACCCAGCUUGUUCAAAUCCUGGGCUGCUUAGAUGCCCCCUCAGCGAAUCCUUUGGCAGCAAGUGACAUUC
rnacentral:snoRNA from 1 species